GAUUCGUCACACUAUCAUUAACUGAAUCCAUAGGUUAAUGAGGCGAACCGGGGGAACUGAAACAUCUAAGUACCCCGAGGAAAAGAAAUCAACCGAGAUUCCCCCAGUAGCGGCGAGCGAACGGGGAGGAGCCCAGAGCCUGAAUCAGCAUGUGUGUUAGUGGAAGCGUCUGGAAAGGCGCGCGAUACAGGGUGACAGCCCCGUACACAAAAGCGCAUGUGCUGUGAGCUCGAUGAGUAGGGCGGGACACGUGGUAUCCUGUCUGAAUAUGGGGGGACCAUCCUCCAAGGCUAAAUACUCCUGACUGACCGAUAGUGAACCAGUACCGUGAGGGAAAGGCGAAAAGAACCCCGGCGAGGGGAGUGAAAAAGAACCUGAAACCGUGUACGUACAAGCAGUGGGAGCACCCUUCGGGGUGUGAC
rnacentral:rRNA from 2 species